GCGACCGGCGACCCCCAAGUCCUCCCUGACCCCUCGGGUCGCGCUGGAAGCCCCCUGGGCAGAACUCCCCCUCUGCCUUCCUUUUGGGGUGGCCGAGUGCCCGGGUUCGCACGACAGUGUUUGAAUUACUGAUAGGGAUAUAUCAAGUGCAUCCAGGAUUUUGUAGAAAGCAUCUGGCAGCCUUACUUAUGUCUGACAAAGAAAACAAUGUUGUGGGCUAACAGGUGUUCCCUUUACACUGUGUCUGCCAGGAAACUUGGAACCAGUGUCAGCGCCCAGUGGCGUCAGCCGGCUCAUCUCAAGCCUUAGUCAGGCUUUCCUCCUCUGGUGCUUAUUCUGGUGUUUAUCCAAUUGUCAGUUUUAAAAUUAUGUUCCCAAGUCAUUUAGCACCUCUGGAGUUCAAAGCACUGUCUUUGCAAAGCGAUGUGCAUGUGCCAAAGCUCAAGUUUAUCAAUCCAGUCAGAGACGCGAGCAUACUGAGACCGUGCCUGCCAGCCAGUCUGAUCAGAGUUUGUAUGAUUUUGUGAAAGGAUUUUGCUGUUGGCUUUUGAGUUCAAGUGGAGAGAGACUGGCGAGAGGAAGAGAAAUUGGUGGUUGAACAGCAGCAACACCAGAAUGUUUGGACUCACUCUUGAAUGCAGGAAGGCAGCCCCAGAGCAUCCAGGGCAAAAAGGUUACCAGGGUAGUAAAGGUCAGGUGUCAGCACUAACAUGACUGCAUUUCUACUCACAGGCUGUGGAACUUAGGGAGACUUAGUUACACCCAAAACACACAAGAAAAUGAUACAAGUGAAAUUGUAUGGGAGUGCAAGGAGUGAAGUGAUUAACUGUGCCUUCAAAUCAGGUCUGGAGGUAACACUGGCAUUGGAUCUUAACUGGGAAGAAUAGGGCCCUGCAGUCCUGGGGGGGCAGACCAUGUGUAAAGUCCAAAGGUAGGAGGCAGGUGGCUCUCCAGGCUGCCUGGGUUUACUGUGGGGUACAAAUACUUAGUGAGAAAUGAGGAAAGGACAGUUGGGAAUAUACCCUGAAAGGAAUGGGGUUUGGAAACACCGAGUUUGUGAGGCUUCACCCUCCUUUCACCCUGAACCUGUGGAAUUAAUAUUCUUCCUCCCACACCUUUGCAGUUUCUUCUAGAGGAAGAACAGACCCCGCCUCUUUGGGAGGAACUCUUCUUUACUCUGGACUAUGGUGCUGAUGUAUGCUGUUGCUCCCAGUGGCCAGCACCUGCAGCCCUUCCUUAGAAGACUUCCUUCCCUCCGUCUACUGAAGCUACCCCUCCCACUUCCACCUCAUAUGCAGAUCCAGAAACACCUGCGGAGUUCCCUGCCCUGGGUACUGGUUAGCUGAUGCACGCAGGAGUAUGAAAGCCAAGCUCCCUUGCCUCAGAAUGAUAACAACUGUGAAUCAUACCAGCUCCUGCUUUGAAAACAGUUCACAGACACUAUGAGCAGAUGGACUUUUUGGCAGCAGAACACCUCUUUCCUGUCUACCACAGAUUUUUACAGGAAAAACUAAAUAGAAUGAUGCUUUUGUGAAUUGAGAAAUUAAUAAAUCUUUUUGGUAUAUGUGGAUAAGAUGAGAGUUCCUGUGGCCAGAAUUCUCACCUGGCCGUGGUUGACUAGCUCAUUGCACACCUGUGGGCAACACAUGGCUGUUGACUCUAUAAAAAGAGCUCCGCCCAGUGCUCUGGGCUCGACACGGUGGCAGGGCUACAAGACUGCAGUAGAGCAGAGCAGAGGCUGGAGUGGUGGCAGUGCCGAGCACAGAGGCCCAGAGGACAGCUAUGCAGGACGACUGUGCAGAGAAGCCCAGAGGACAUCUGUGCGAACAGAGGGGCCCAGAAGCAGAGACUGGCUUGCUGCAUACAGACUCACUCUGAGUGAAUGGGAUUCUACUGACUGACGUGCCACCUGGAAAUAAAGUUGGGUAUAACCCUUUCACCCCAAGAACACUUUUCUGUCAAUUUCUUUGGUCACACUGAAUCCAUAGCAAACUUGCCCGGGGCUGAAACCCAUUGGCAAGACAGUAUAUACCACAUUAAUCUUAAGCUUCUACUGUAACUUAAUCAAGACAGUGUAGUAUUGAUGUAAAGAAAGACAUAUUUUAAACUCUUAUUUACCCAAGGGAAAUAAAAACAUAUGUCUACCAAUUACAUGUAUAUAAAUGUUCAUAGCAAGCUUUAUUCAUAAGUCAAAAAUAGAAACCACUCAAAUCUCCAUGAAGAGGUGAAUGUAUAAACAACUUGUGGUAAAUCCAUUCAAUAAGGUGCUGCUUAACAAAAAGGGAACAAACUAGUCAUACAUAUAUGCAACAACAUGAGUGAAUCUUAAAAACAUUAUGCUGAGCAAAAGAAACAGGACAUAAAAAAGCACAUUACUAUCUGAUUCUAUUUAUAUGAGGUUCUGUGAUAGGAAAACUAAUCUAAGUGAUAAUAGAACAUCAGUGGUUGCUAUGCAGGACAUGGGAUUGAUGGCAUAGAAGCUGGAAGACACUUUUGGUGUGAUGAAAAUUUCUGUAUCUUGACUGUGGUGGUGGCCAUUGUCUAGCUUGUGACUAUGCCCAACUGCCUAGUUUGCAUCUUGGCUCUGUCACUUAGCCAGGUUAUUUAACCAUUCUCUACCUUAGGUCCCUCAUCUGUGAAAAGGGCAUAAUAAUAAUACCUAUUUCAUAAGGUUGUUAUAAUUGUUAAAAAGAAUAAAGAUAUUAGCAUGCCUGAGAGACAGAAAUUUCUAUAUGCGCUAGCCAUUAUUGUUGUUAUCAAAGGACAAAGUUAUAUAUGUAAGGAUGUUUGUUAAAGAGGUGGUGAUGAAAGCAGAAACUGGCUUGUGUAGAAGUGAAGCUACAGUGCCUUCACCUGAUGAGAUAUUAUAUAGUCAUUAACUGCACUGUUGACUGUCAGAGAAUCUAUUGGUAUAACUUAUAGUUCACAUGACAAAAAUCAGGUAAACAUCUCAAUAAAUGCAGAAAAGAAAUGAUAUAAAAUCAGGCAUCCAUUCCUGAUACAAAGCAAAGUAGAAAACUCUUGUAUUUAAUUACAUCAAAAGCCAGUAUCAAAUUUUAUGGCAAAACUUUCAAUUUUCCAUUCAAAUUUCACAAACAAAAUAAAGGUGCUAUCAUCACUGCUAUAAUUAAUUUUACUGGAAGUAAAAUCCAAUGCAAUCAAGUAAGAAAAAAUAAAUACGGAGUCUACAUAUUGGAAAUAAAGAUCCAUAAUUGUCAUUAUUUGGAGAUUAUAUGAUUGCAUAUAAGGAUUAACUAAAAUGGCUGGUUAAAAAAUGUUAUUUAUAAAAAUGAAUAGCUUUCCUAUAUACACAUCAUGAGAGAAAAAAUAAAGCUUCACGAGCAAAACAAAAAAAAUUAUUAGAAAUCAUCUUAACAGAGAAUAUACAGAACAAAUAUGAAGAAAAUAUAUCCCAGUUUUGAGGAAGCAUAAAGGGAGAGCUGAGUUCCUACAUAGAAAAACUUGAAACCAUAAAAUUAUCAAUACAACCUUCAAAAAAAUUGAUUGAAAAAGGAACAAGACUUUGUGAGCUAUUUAUCAAAACUAUAUAAAAUUCAUCUGGAAAAUUAAAUAUACCAGAAGAGCCAGGAAAUAUACCAGGAAAAAAAAACAUCUGAAGAAAAUAAAGUGAGAAAGGACUUUUUUAAACCAAACAUAAAACUACAGGAAGUAAACCAUUUUGUGACAGGACUAGCAUAUUCGUUAUCUAUUAUUGCAUAACAAAUGUCCCCAAAAUAUAUUGGCUUAACACUGCCUUCUUUUCUCAUAGCUUUUGCAGGUCAGGAAUCUGAGUGUGGUUUACCUGGGUUUUCUAACUCUGGGUGUCCCAUAAGCCUACACUCAAAGUUCAGCUAAGGCUAUAGUCAUCUCAGCUAGAGAAGGACCUGCUCCCAGCCACAUUCAUUUGGUUGUUGGAAGGAUUCAGCUCCUCAUAGGGUGUAGGCUAGACAUCUACCUUAUUUCCUUGCCACAUGCCCUGUCCAUAGGGCAGCUCACAACAUAGCAAAUGGCUUCAUCAGAGCGAGCAAAUGAGAGGGAGAGAGAGAAAGAAAGAAGUUAUGAAUACCAGUAAGAUGAAGUCAUAGUUUUUAUAAUCCAAUUGCUGAUGUAACAUCCCAUCACUUUUGCAGUAUUCUAUUCAUUAGAAGCAAGUUAGUAGGUCCAGUCUACACUCAAGGCAAGGAGAUUACACAGGACAUGAACACCAGGAUCAAAUGAGGCCAUCUUCCUGCCACAGCUAGAGAGACAAACCAAUGGAAGAACAUGAGGAGUCUGAAAAUAGACCCAAAUUCCUUUGAGAAUUUUAUGAAAUAAAGAUGGCAUUCCAUCUUUAUUGAUGAAAAGCCCUAUUGAUUAUAAUGUCAUCACCAAAUCAAAUAAUCUCCAAAUAACUAGCUGGUUAUCUGGACACUGAGCUCUCCCGUACAAAAAUUAAUUCCUGAGGGAUCAAAAUCAUGCAUGGAAAAAUAAUAAUGAAUGCUAGCGGUAGACAUAGGAUUUUUAACAAUUAUUAUCUUGGCAUAAGAAAACCAUAUCUUAACCUGACACAAAACCCAGAAGAUAUCAAAAAAUUUUGACAUCAUUGAUAAAAAAAAUUUUAAAUAUCCAUAUGGAAUGAAAAAUUGGAAAAAAAAAAAAGCUUGUGACACAUAUGACAGAGAGUUUAUUUUCUAAUAUAAAAAUAGUACUUUAAAACAAGUAAGGAAAAAAAAAUAACCAAAUAGAAAAAUCAACUAUGAUGUAAACAACUAUAUAUAAACAUCUAAGAUAUACAUGUGAAAAGAUGCCCAGCUGAACUCACAAUCAAAGAAAUAUGUCAAAGAGAAAAAUGUAACACCAUUUUACCUAUAAAAAUGGCAAAAAUUUUAUGGUUUUACAACCUACAGUUGGGGAAAGUACAGAGAGAAUGUAAAUUCAGGUUUUCUCCGAUAGCCAUCUGGCAAAUUCUUUCAAAGCUAAAAAGUGUGUAUAACCCUUUACCCAGCAACUCCACUGCUAAUUAUGUAUCAUAUGGAAAU